AUGCUUCUACAAUGAGGGGAAGGCAGCAUGACAUUUGCUUGGUGUCUCAUCUGUUAGUGAUUCCAGAUUGUUGACGAAAUAUCGUCUUCUGCUACCUCUACGUAUCACCCUUUUAGCUUUAUUCCUGUCAUUCUGCACUGAGCCUUACCUGUGAUAAAUCUUUCUUUUUUUCUGUAGGUUUCGAUGGCCAUUGAUGAUUGGAGAGCAGCAUAGGAAUGCGACAGCUUUGUCUGGGUCUGGGCUUAAUGCCCUACUAGAUAGAAUCUUCUUGGGAAACUUCAUCUGCUCCUAAGUUACACAAUACACCUCUUAAGCUACUUCCAAAAAGCAAAACAAAUUUAGAUUCGGAUUUUGAGAAAUUUCAGCUGACGCUUUUGUGUGACCUGGUGCUUGUGACAAUAGAGAUCAAAUGGGUCAAUCCAAUAAUGUGAUACAGAGCUUGUAAACAGUUAAUGGCCAAAUUAUCUCGCAGCUGCCUGUAAAUUUCUCAAAAAUGUCGUGCCUCAAGCGUCUUGCUGCCUGUAGAUUUCCGUAAUCUAUACUUCAUUGAGAUCACAAUUCACAACAAAGUUUGAGCUUCAUUGCUGUCAUGCAGAUGGUUUUGUUGCAACCACCCGGUGAAAAGGGAGUUCGAAUUGAGUUGCAGCUGCUGCAGGCAGUCUGUAGCGGUGAUGUCAUCCUGAAGUGUUCUCAAGGUGUCAGUCUAGGCUGAAGCUAAUCAAAGUGUGCUGUUCAAGUCUUGUGAGUGUAAAAAGUAUUAAUUUGCACUCAAUUGAAAAUGU